rnacentral:rRNA from 1 species
AUACGGAGGAUGCGAGCGUUAUCCGGAUUUAUUGGGUUUAAAGGGUGCGUAGGCGGACGAUUAAGUCAGCUGUGAAAUGCCCGCGCUUAACGCGGGAAGUGCAGUUGAUACUGGUUGUCUGGAGUGCCGUUGCCGUGGGGGGAAUGUGUAGUGUAGCGGUGAAAUGCAUAGAGAUCACACAGAACACCGAUUGCGAAGGCAUCUCACGAAGGGGCUAUUGACGCUGAGGCACGAAAGCGUGGGGAUCAAACAGGAUUAGAUACCCUGGUAGUCCACGCAGUAAACGAUGAUGACUAACCGUCGGUCAAGACUGAUCGGUGGCCAAGCGAAAGCGAUAAGUCAUCCACCUGGGGAGUACGACCGCAAGGUUGAAACUUAAAGGAAUUGGCGGGG